rnacentral:rRNA from 1 species
UACGUAGGGUCCAAGCGUUAUCCGGAAUCACUGGGCGUAAAGCGUGCGUAGGUGGAUGUUUAAGUGAGAGGUUAAAUCGUGUGGCUCAACCAUAUCGAUGCCUCUCAUACUGGGCAUCUAGAGGACAGCAGAGGCAAGUGGAACUAGUAGUGUAGCAGUGAAAUGCGUAGAUAUUACUAAGAACACCAAUGGUGAAGGCAGCUUGCUGGGCUACUCCUGACACUGAGGUACGAAAGCGUGGGGAGCGAACAGG